CACUGGAUAAGAGGCUUUCUAAGAGACUAUUUUUCUAUGAAUAUUUUAUUUAUAUGGAGUCUGCCUGUGUUGCCCCAUGGCCCAUGCCUCUUCUUAACACUGGUACUCACUCAGGGGCAGGAGGACAAGGCCAGGUGUGUGCGCAGGUCCCCUGGAGUCUGGAGUUCCAUUUGCCAAGGGGCCACAGCAGUUACCAGAUGCCUGGGCUGGGGUAUCGUCUGUGUUAAAUGAGAGGGAAUCUUCCCCUGGCUUUAGCCUGCUGAGCUCAGGUCUUGGAAUGGGGUCACUGGAUGGUUAUCUUGGGAGGUGACCUCAGGACGAGCUACAGUGGCGGAUCAGUCAGUGUCUUGCACGUUUUGAACAGGCAGAGGCCAGCUCCGGGAUGCCAAUGUCCCAUCAGGACAGCCCAGGCACUGCCUAUAGGUGAGCUGUAGUCCUAAGAGAAGGGGUCAGAAAGGAGGGGGCAGGAGGAAGCCAAGGAUUGUUGGCCAACCUCAGUGAAAGCAUGGGCGUGAUCCCUCUGCAGCAGAGACCCUGCUCCACCUGCACCUCUCAACCAGGAAACCCCUUCAGGAGGCUGCGAAUAUUUUUAUGUGUGUCCACAUGCAUUUCUACCCAUGUGCAUGUAAGCACACGCACACACUCCUGUGCCAGCACUUUGAGGCACCUCCAGAGUGCUCACAUGUGCAUGUGCUUGCGUGUAACUCUCUGCACUUGGGAGAUCAGAUCAUGCGUGUGGAGCUGUGUGCCUGAGCAUUUGUGGUCCCAGGGGGUCUUUCCAGGUAUCUGCAUUUGUGGGUGGGGUGCAAGGUAGACAGCAGGGAACUAAUUUGAUUGCGUUGAGCCGCAAAGAGACUGCAACUUCUGAACUCUGUCUCCACAGCUGCUGGAGAAACUCAGAUGCCUGUGACACCACAACCCUGAGCCUCGUGGCCUGCGUGCUGGGAGCCCCUCAGUGCCUAGGUCAUGUCCAGUCUCCCACCUGGGUCACAGCAGGACAAAUAAACACGACUGUAUGGCUGAUUCCUUCCCUUG
rnacentral:lncRNA from 1 species